AUUGAACGCUGGCGGCAUGCUUUACACAUGCAAGUCGAACGGCAGCGCGGGCUUCGGCCUGGCGGCGAGUGGCGAACGGGUGAGUAAUACAUCGGAACGUGCCCAGUAGCGGGGGAUAGCUCGGCGACAGCCGGAUUAAUACCGCAUACGACCUGAGGGUGAAAGCGGGGGAUCUUCGGACCUCGCGCUCUUGGAGCGGCCGAUGGCAGAUUAGCUAGUUGGUGGGGUAAAGGCCUACCAAGGCGACGAUCUGUAGCUGGUCUGAGGGGACGACCAGCCACACUGGGACUGAGACACGGCCCAGACUCCUACGGGAGGCAGCAGUGGGGAAUUUUGGACAAUGGGCGAAAGCCUGAUCCAGCAAUGCCGCGUGUGUGAUGAAGGCCUUCGGGUUGUAAAGCACUUUUGGCGGGAACGAAAAGGACUGUGCCAAUACCACGGUUCGAUGACGGUACCCGCAGAAUAAGCACCGGCUAACUACGUG
rnacentral:rRNA from 1 species